rnacentral:tRNA from 1 species
GUUUUAAUAGUUUAACAAAAACAUUGGUCUUGUAAAUCAAAAUUAAGAGUAUUCUUUUAAAACU